UCUUGUACAUCAUAUCCUAAAAACAGGCGGUGCCAUGUUAAAGCAAGGAAGAAGAUAGAAAGCUAAGUAUAACACUCAACUCUUUCAAUGAUUGCAAAUGCUGCUAUUAUGCCCUUCAGUGAUCUAGAGGAAAAUAUAUUACCUAAAUCUCAUUUGGGGAGUGUUCAUGGUAUAUUCUGGUGUAACUAGAGUAUACUACUGUAAUAAUACAUAAUUUUAAUGCAAAUUUCUAAUGCAUGAAAAUUUUAAUGCAAUCUUCUAAUUUUCUGCAUUAUUAUAUUUCUGUCAAUAAGAGAUUCUGAUUAUAAUUUUGAAGACAGAUUCUCCAUGGCUAAAAUUUUUUUGUUUAUUGAAAACUUCCACUGAUGUAAUCUAAUUGCCAAAUGUUACAAUUGUUCUUAAAAUCAUACAAACAUAAUUGUAUUCUGUCUUGCAGUCUGGGGAAUAAAAGAAAAGUGUUCUAUAUGUGUGUAUAUGUAUAUAAAAGAAACAUAGUGCAGGAGAGUUUCAUAAAGUUUUUUCAAAAUUUUUCAAAGGUAAGCGAACAUCGUGCCAGUCAUUAUUUUGUAAAAACAUUUUAUAACGUAUCAUUCUUCAGACAUUUACAUCGGGUAUGAUGCUGGUUCAAGGUGAGGUAUAGCUCCUGAUGGCAUGGGGGAAUAAUCUGAUUGAUUUCCCAUAAGCAUCAUCCUUUCUGGCUGGGCA
rnacentral:lncRNA from 1 species